AAUAAAGUUUAUAGAAUAUGAACUCGUUUUUUAAUGAAAAGAAGAAAGACAUACUGAUACGGUGUAUUUGCCUAAGAAAAGGUCUUAAAAAGUAUACACCGAAACAUUCGUGUCACCGAGUCCAAGCUCCUGCUGCUCGCUGCAGGACAGGCCAGUGACUCCGAAAGAUGAUUGGUUGGGGCAAGGAGUAACGGCUUACCUGGAGAGACAGCAGACCGAGAAGAUGGUGGACUCCUGCCCCCAAGGAACCAGCUGCCUGCGUUGGCAUUCAGGCUUCUUUUAUACUAAAACGGGAGAGAGCAAAGUCAAACAUGUCCGGGUUCUGGUCAGCCUCCUCUUCCUCCUUGCAGUCAUUCACAGGACUUCCCUGGUGGCGCAGUGGUUAAGAAUCCGCCUGCCAAUGCAGGAGACACAAGUUCGAGCCCUGGUCCGGGAAGAUCCCACAUGCCGCGGAGCAAUUAAGCCCAUGUGCCACAACUACUGAGCCUGUGCUCCAGAGCCCACGAGCCACAACUACUGAGCCCGCGUGCCUAGAGCCCGUGCUCCUCAACAAGAGAAGCCACUGCAAUGAGAAGCCCGCACGUCGCAACGAACAGCAGCCCCCACUCGCCACAACUAGAGAAAGCCCACACGCAGCAACAAAGACCCAAUGCAGCCAAAAAUAAUAAAUAAAAUUAUUUUUUAAAAAUA